AUUGAACGCUGGCGGCAGGCCUAACACAUGCAAGUCGAGCGGUAGAUACUUUCGGGUAUUGAGAGCGGCGGACGGGUGAGUAACGCGUGGGAAUCUGGCUCUUAGAGGGGGACAACUUGUGGAAACGCAAGCUAAUACCGCAUACGCCCUAAGGGGGAAAGCAGGGGAUCUUCGGACCUUGCGCUAAGAGAUGAGCCCGCGUCGGAUUAGCUAGUUGGUAGGGUAAAGGCCUACCAAGGCGACGAUCCGUAACUGGUCUGAGAGGAUGAUCAGUCACACUUGAACUGAGACACGGUCCAGACUCCUACGGGAGGCAGCAGUGGGGAAUAUUGGACAAUGGGGGCAACCCUGAUCCAGCCAUGCCGCGUGUGUGAAGAAGGCCUUCGGGUUGUAAAGCACUUUAAGUUGGGAGGAAAGGGUUAUGGCUAAUAUCCAUGAUCUAUGACGUUACCAACAGAAUAAGCACCGGCUAACUCCGUGCCAGCCGCCGCAGUAA
rnacentral:rRNA from 1 species